GGGUGGUAAUGCCGGAUGCUCCGACUCCUCGCAUGGGGUGUCGGGAAAGAUUUCAUCGGUAUGGGAUGGGGUCGCGUCCUAUCAGGUAGUCGGCGGGGUAACGGCCCACCGAGCCUACGACGGGUAGCCGGCCUGAGAGGGCGACCGGCCACAUUGGGACUGAGAUACGGCCCAGACUCCUACGGGAGGCAGCAGUGGGGAAUAUUGCACAAUGGGCGCAAGCCUGAUGCAGCGACGCCGCGUGCGGGAUGACGGCCUUCGGGUUGUAAACCGCUUUUGAUCGGGAGCAAGCCUUCGGGUGAGUGUACCUUUCGAAUAAGCACCGGCUAACUACGUGCCAGCAGCCGCGGUAAUACGUAGGGUGCAAGCGUUAUCCGGAAUUAUUGGGCGUAAAGGGCUCGUAGGCGGUUCGUCGCGUCCGGUGUGAAAGUCCAUCGCUUAACGGUGGAUCUGCGCCGGGUACGGGCGGGCUGGAGUGCGGUAGGGGAGACUGGAAUUCCCGGUGUAACGGUGGAAUGUGUAGAUAUCGGAAAGAAC
rnacentral:rRNA from 1 species